rnacentral:rRNA from 1 species
CUAGCCGUAAACGAUGGGUACUAGGUGUGGGAGGUAUCGACCCCUUCCGUGCCGGAGUUAACGCAAUAAGUACCCCGCCUGGGGACUACGAUCGCAAGAUUGAAACUCAAAGGAAUUGACGGGGGCCCGCACAAGCGGUGGAGCAUGUGGUUUAAUUCGAAGCAACGCGAAGAACCUUACCAAGGCUUGACAUCCCUCUGACCGGUGUAGAGAUACACCUUCUCUUCGGAGCAGAGGUGACAGGUGG